rnacentral:rRNA from 1 species
ACCCGCACAAGCAGCGGAGCAUGUGGUUUAAUUCGAAGCAACGCGAAGAACCUUACCUGGGCUUGACAUCCCUCUGACCGGCGAGUAAAGUCGCCUUUCCUUCGGGACAGAGGAGACAGGUGGUGCAUGGUUGUCGUCAGCUCGUGUCGUGAGAUGUUGGGUUAAGUCCCGCAACGAGCGCAACCCCUGUCAUUAGUUGCCAGCAUUUCGGAUGGGCACUCUAAUGAGACUGCCGGUGACAAACCGGAGGAAGGUGGGAUGACGUCAAAUCAUCAUGCCCCUUAUGUUCAGGGCUACACACGUGCUACAAUGGCCAGUACAAAGGGCAGCGAGAGAGUGAUCUGGAGCGAAUCCCAAAAAGCUGGUCCCAGUUCGGAUUGAAGGCUGAAACUCGCCUCCAUGAAGCUGGAGUUGCUAGUAAUCGCGAAUCAGCAUGCCGCGGUGAAUACGUUCCCGGGCCUU